GUGGGGAAUAUUGCACAAUGGGCGAAAGCCUGAUGCAGCAACGCCGCGUGAGCGAUGAAGGCCUUCGGGUCGUAAAGCUCUGUCCUCAAGGAAGAUAAUGACGGUACUUGAGGAGGAAGCCCCGGCUAACUACGUGCCAGCAGCCGCGGUAAUACGUAGGGGGCUAGCGUUAUCCGGAAUUACUGGGCGUAAAGGGUGCGUAGGUGGUUUCUUAAGUCAGAGGUGAAAGGCUACGGCUCAACCGUAGUAAGCCUUUGAAACUGGGAAACUUGAGUGCAGGAGAGGAGAGUGGAAUUCCUAGUGUAGCGGUGAAAUGCGUAGAUAUUAGGAGGAACACCAGUUGCGAAGGCGGCUCUCUGGACUGUAACUGACACUGAGGCACGAAAGCGUGGGGAGCAAACAGG
rnacentral:rRNA from 1 species